ACAACAGGUGGAGCCUGCGGUUUAAUCGGACUCAACGCCGGGAAGCUCACCGGAUAAGACAGCGGAAUGAUAGCCGGGCUGAAGACUCUGCUUGACUAGCUGAGAGGAGGUGCAUGGCCGUCGUCAGUUCGUACUGUGGAGCAUCCUGUUAAGUCAGGCAACGAGCGAGACCCACGCCAACAGUUGCCAGCAUGUCCUCCGGGAUGGUGGGGACACUGUUGGGACCGCCUCUGCUAAAGAGGAGGAAGGAAUGGGCAACGGUAGGUCAGCAUGCCCCGAAUUAUCCGGGCUACACGCGGGCUACAAUGGUCAGGACAAUGGGCAUCAACACCGAAAGGUGAAGGCAAUCUCUUAAACCUGUCCUUAGUUCGGAUUGUGGGCUGCAACUCGCCCACAUGAAGCUGGAAUCUGUAGUAAUCGCGUCUCAAAAUGGCGCGGUGAAUAUGUCCCUGCUCCUU
rnacentral:rRNA from 1 species